UACAGAGGGUGCAAGCGUUGUUCGGAAUUACUGGGCGUAAAGGGCGUGUAGGCGGCUUAACAAGUCAGGUGUGAAAUCCCGGGGCUCAACUCCGGAAGUGCAUUUGAAACUGUUAGGCUAGAGUACUGUAGAGGAUGGUGGAAUUCCCAGUGGAGAGGUGAAAUUCGUAGAUAUUGGGAGGAACACCUGUGGCGAAGGCGGCCAUCUGGACAACUACUGACACUGAGACGCGAAAGCGUGGGUAGCAAACAGG
rnacentral:rRNA from 1 species